rnacentral:lncRNA from 7 species
CUGGCAGUCAAUGUGGGGCUCAUAAGGGGGGUGGUAAUGGGGUGACGGAUGCAGGGCUGGUAGCGACCGCAACCGCCGUGGCCCUAUAAGAGUACGGGGUUGAUAGUGGGGGUUAAUGGGGGCUUAAUGGGGCUGGAAGCCAAUGUGGUUCUAUAAUGGGGGUUAAUGGGGCUGGCAGUCAAUGUGGGGCUAUAAUGGGGGUUAAUGGGGGGUUAAUGGGGCCUGGAAAGCCAAUGUGGGGGCUACAAUGGGGCUUAAUGGGGGUUACGGGGCCGGCAGCCCAACUGGCCCUAUAAUAAGGGGGGUUAAUAGGGAAGGGGUACGGGGCUGGCAGCCAAUGUGCCCUAUUAAGGGUGGAGGGGUC